CCUAUCAAGUAGGGAACGUCACAUUACGUCGUUAAUAUUCAUGAGUUCAGCAUUUGCAGUAGGAUUAUUUAUUUGUUCGCAUUUAUUCAUUAUUUAUGACUUACUCAUUUGUCAUAGCUAUUAUAGGAUGUGAACUUAUAAUCAACAAUAGGUCAUUUGGUUUGAUUUAAACUAUAUUUCAGUUUGUUUGAGGAGUGAUUCGGUUAAAAAUACCACAAGAGGGCAGAAGUGCACUGAAUAGGCCUAUAGAUAAUAUUUGCAAAACAAUACUGCACUUUAAUUAUAUUUUACGCAUUCACGUAUUUGCUCCCGUACAGUUCACCAUAUUUGCGUUUUUUGCUCCACAGAAGUCCCUGAUACAACAUUUGCGUAUCUCAGCAAAUAUUGAUUAAUCCCCAUCUAUUGACCAAUUAAAUACCGGAUUUUCUGCCGUAGUCAGAAGGGCGCGCUGAUAAGAGCGAGAUAGUAGGGUUUCACUUCAUUGCUUUGAGGCUGUAAACGCAGAUAAACACGAAGGUGAAAAGUUGAGCAUUUGGAAGAGUAGUGAUGUCAAGUGGCCCAUGAAAGCGAUGAGGUCAGAAGAACGAAUGGUGUUGAAGUGUGGCAUGUUCAGGAGAACCAAUAGGAGGACAGACCGACUCCGGCAGCCAGAACUUCUGCAGAAAGCUCAGACAGCGUGCAGUACCUGUACUCUUCCCUCAGACAGCUGCGUUCGACAGGUGAGCUGGUCUCUGGUGUGAACGUCAGGAUAGUGUGUUUCCUGGAAAACUCUCUCCAGCUCCUCCAGCUGGCUCACGGUG